GAAAUAUAAGAUCAAGAGAAAUAGCUUCUAACUUUUUCUCAAGCGGCGCACCUCCGUUUAUGUUUCU
rnacentral:tRNA from 1 species